rnacentral:rRNA from 1 species
AGUGGGGAAUCUUAGACAAUGGGCGCAAGCCUGAUCUAGCCAUGCCGCGUGAGUGAUGAAGGCCCUAGGGUCGUAAAGCUCUUUCACCUGWGAUGAUAAUGACGGUAUCWGUAGAAGAAACCCCGGCUAACUCCGUGCCAGCAGCCGCGGUAAUACGGAGGGGGUUAGCGUUGUUCGGAAUUACUGGGCGUAAAGCGUACGUAGGCGGAUUAAUAAGUUAGAGGUGAAAUCCCAGGGCUCAACCCUGGAACUGCCUUUAAAACUGUUAGUCUUGAGAUCGAGAGAGGUGAGUGGAAUUCCAAGUGUAGAGGUGAAAUUCGUAGAUAUUUGGAGGAACACCAGUGGCGAAGGCGGCUCACUGGCUCGAUACUGACGCUGAGGUACGAAAGUGUGGGGAGCAAACAGGAUUAGAUACCCUGGUAGUCCACACCGUAAACGAUGAAUGCCAGACGUCAGCAAGCAUGCUUGUUGGUGUCACACCUAACGGAUUAAGCAUUCCGCCUGGGGAGUACGGUCGCAAGAUUAAAAC